UAUGCAGAGACAGCCAGAGACAGCGGCUCCGCGCUAACCUGAUAAGCAGCUCCCAACAUCAAUGAGGCCCAGCCUGGCAAGCGGAGGGGGCCCCAAUCCUGGGCGGCUGGUGAGGGUGCAGGGACAGCCUCUGACCCUCGUUCCCCAGCCCUGGCCGCCACACAGCCCUGCACAGUGCCCUCAUCCUCUGGCCUCCCGUCAGCAGCACCCACUCCUGCUCUGCCUCCUCUGAGGCUUUUGCGGUAGGCAGCUUCUGCAAGAUACGUUUUCAUCAAACGAGUUUGGGAAUGUCUGUGUCAGGAAGGAAGAGAAAAGAAAUCAAGGUUUGGAGGGGCAAGGUGACCUGCCUGAAGCUUCAUAGUUGUCUCUGUCUCUGUUGCUUUUCCCUUGUCUUCCUUUCCCAGUGUGUCUCUUCCUUUCUCUUUUUCCCCUCCCUGUUCUGCUCUCCACCACAGUCUCCACCAGGAGCAGAAAUGGGGAAGCGAGUGGUGACACCAAAAGAUCUGGGAGCUGCUUUCCUGCAGAUCACCUGCCCGAGGCUCUGAAAAGAACCCAGGCUGUGGAAAUGUCCAGGCGCAGGGGAUCCGAUGUGGACACCACACCCAAUUUACCACACAAGAAAACUAAGAGAAGACCAGAGGAGUGAAGACCCCGCCCAAGUCAGUGUCACACUGAUUUGCAUACUACUUUCCAUCUCCCUUCUGCUGCUGAGCACUCCUAGAUUUUUCCUAGGAACCACCGCUUCCCUACCUCUGUCCAUGAGAUCUUAGGGUGGCCUAUGACUGGAGCUGGCCCAUCUGUGCCAUCCAUCCCUGGGUCACAAGUCUUGGUAACAGCUGAUCCAGUAAGAUCAGCACUGGGUUUUUUUGUGGAACCACUGGAAAAGGAGUGCUUUCUUUCCAUUGGAUUUGUCCAUGUUGGUAAAUUUAAGCCUAGAGCUGCUUGAAACGCUUGGGGAGUGACUACUAAAGAGUAAAGCCAACACAAAGGAGAGGAGAGCCAAGAGCUGAAGAGAGACAGAUGCCAGAUGACAUUGUCUAAGUGCCUGGAUCCAGCUAUACCUGAAGUCUAACUUUAGACUUUUCAGUUAUGUGAAUAAAACUUAAGCCAGACUGUGUUAGAUUUACAUCAAAGAGACUAAGGCAGCUUAGAGAAACAGGAGGACAGAAUGACCACCAGAGACAGAGACAGUUGUAGGAAUGAGGACCAAGUCCGAUAGGAGAGCAAAGGAAAGUGAAGCAGUGCGAAGGCUGGUCCAUUAGGAUCACUGAAUUGACGUUCAGCCGUGAAACAGGAAUACCAGAGUUUACUGGAAAGAAAGCACAGAUGAAGACGAUUCUACAGGUGGGUUAAUCUGAGGUGGCAUGAGAGCUUUUUUCCUGCAACAUAGGCUGUCUAUCUGUGCACUAACAGAAGUCCACCUGAGCCCCCAGCUUGCACAGGGUAUGGGUCAACAGAGGGUAGGGAGGAAGACAAGGGCAGUUGGUGUUUAUUUUGACAGUCAGCAGCCAGUUGCAACGGACAUCCCUAUUAAGAGCUCUUAAGACUUUUAACAAGCUUCAUUCCAAGACAGAUCUUUAAAGACAAAUAAAAACAUUCAACCAAUCCCUGCUUAUCAUGUGUGUUCAGCAUUGGCCCUCCCCGGCCCAUUCCUUAUCAGACAUCCCCAGAUUUCAUCUGAUUUACAGGAUACUAAGUGAUAAACAAGAGAGACAGAAAGAGGAACUAAGUCACAAGCUUGACUCAUCCAUGGUCCAGGUUGCCUGGCUCUGUCCGACAUGUGCCAGAUGCAGCCCAGGGUGGGUGAUCACAGCUUUCCUUGCUGUUACUGCAUGAUAUGCUGAAACCCCAUCGAUUAUAACCUAAUGGGAUGACCUCCUGGGGACCACCAACCUCGAGUCUUGCCUGUGCUGCUUGGAGGAGGUGCCAGGUGCAGAUGGGCAUGGUGGGAGGAAAUCAUGCCCUGCGCUGAUAAGAAACUCCCUUCCCUUGUCCCAGACACACCGAUGUCUGCCUCUCAGGGGUGAGAGGGAGGACAUGGCCCUAAAGAAAGACAAAGAGGGUGGAGGGUCUGUUGCCUGGUGCCUGGGAGUUACUUCUCUUACUCUUCUC